CGCAGGCAGCCGGGGCGGGCGCAGGGGUCGUGUUCCUGCCGGAACUGACGCUGUCGAGGUACCCGGCGUUCGAGCAGCCGGUCGGCAA
rnacentral:tRNA from 1 species